UGAUCUGAGUGCUUGCAUCAUGAUUUACAUUUGAGUGAGUGGCGAACUGGUGAGUAACACGUGGGAAACCUGCCCAGAAGCGGGGGAUAACACCUGGAAACAGAUGCUAAUACCGCAUAACAACUUGGACCGCAUGGUCCGAGUUUGAAAGAUGGCUUCGGCUAUCACUUUUGGAUGGUCCCGCGGCGUAUUAGCUAGAUGGUGGGGUAACGGCUCACCAUGGCAAUGAUACGUAGCCGACCUGAGAGGGUAAUCGGCCACAUUGGGACUGAGACACGGCCCAAACUCCUACGGGAGGCAGCAGUAGGGAAUCUUCCACAAUGGACGAAAGUCUGAUGGAGCAACGCCGCGUGAGUGAAGAAGGGUUUCGGCUCGUAAAACUCUGUUGUUAAAGAAGAACAUAUCUGAGAGUAACUGUUCAGGUAUUGACGGUAUUUAACCAGAAAGCCACGGCUAACUACGUGCCAGCAGCCGCGGUAAUACGUAGGUGGCAAGCGUUGUCCGGAUUUAUUGGGCGUAAAGCGAGCGCAGGCGGUUUUUUAAGUCUGAUGUGAAAGCCUUCGGCUCAACCGAAGAAGUGCAUCGGAAACUGGGAAACUUGAGUGCAGAAGAGGACAGUGGAACUCCAUGUGUAGCGGUGAAAUGCGUAGAUAUAUGGAAGAACACCAGUGGCGAAGGCGGCUGUCUGGUCUGUAACUGACGCUGAGGCUCGAAAGUAUGGGUAGCAAACAGGAUUAGAUACCCUGGUAGUCCAUACCGUAAACGAUGAAUGCUAAGUGUUGGAGGGUUUCCGCUCUUCAGUGCUGCAGCUAACGCAUUAAGCAUUCCGCCUGGGGAGUACGGCCGCAAGGCUGAAACUCAAAGGAAUUGACGGGGGCCCGCACAAGCGGUGGAGCAUGUGGUUUAAUUCGAAGCUACGCGAAGAACCUUACCAGGUCUUGACAUACUAUGCAAAUCUAAGAGAUUAGACGUUCCCUUCGGGGACAUGGAUACAGGUGGUGCAUGGUUGUCGUCAGCUCGUGUCGUGAGAUGUUGGGUUAAGUCCCGCAACGAGCGCAACCCUUAUUAUCAGUUGCCAGCAUUAAGUUGGGCACUCUGGUGAGACUGCCGGUGACAAACCGGAGGAAGGUGGGGAUGACGUCAAAUCAUCAUGCCCCUUAUGACCUGGGCUACACACGUGCUACAAUGGAUGGUACAACGAGUUGCGAACUCGCGAGAGUAAGCUAAUCUCUUAAAGCCAUUCUCAGUUCGGAUUGUAGGCUGCAACUCGCCUACAUGAAGUCGGAAUCGCUAGUAAUCGCGGAUCAGCAUGCCGCGGUGAAUACGUUCCCGGGCCUUGUACACACCGCCCGUCACACCAUGAGAGUUUGUAACACCCAAAGUGCGGUGG
rnacentral:rRNA from 1 species